AUAUUCCUGUACCGAUGUGUAGUGCGAUGUGGGGACGGAGAAGGUUAGCUCAGCCAACUGUUGGAUAUGUUGGUUCAAGCCUGUAGUCGUGCCCGGUAGGCAAAUCCGCCGGGCUUAGAUGAGGGGUGAUAACGAGGCUGCUUGCAGCCGAAGUGAGUGAUACCCUGCUUCCAGGAAAAGCCACUAAGCUUCAGCUACACACGACCGUACCGCAAACCGACACUGGUGCGCGAGAUGAGUAUUCUAAGGCCUUGAGAGAACUCAGGAGAAGGAACUCGGCAAAUUGAUACCGUAACUUCGGGAGAAGGUAUGCCCCAAGUAGGUGAACCUGUACAAGGCGAGCCCAAAGGGGUUGCAAAAAAUCGGUGGCUGCGACUGUUUAAUAAAAACACAGCACUCUGCAAACACGAAAGUGGACGUAUAGGGUGUGACGCCUGCCCGGUGCUGGAAGAUUAAAUGAUGGGGUGCAAGCUCUUGACUGAAGUCCCAGUAAACGGCGGCCGUAACAAUAACGGUCCUAAGGUAGCGAAAUUCCUUGUCGGGUAAGUUCCGACCUGCACGAAUGGCGUAACGAUGGCCACACUGUCUCCUCCUGAGACUCAGCGAAGUUGAAAUGUUUGUGAUGAUGCAAUCUCCCCGCGGAAAGACGGAAAGACCCCAUGAACCUUUACUGUAGCUUUGUAUUGGACUUUGAACAGAUCUGUGUAGGAUAGGUGGGAGGCUUUGAAGUGAGGUCGCUAGAUCUCAUGGAGCCAACGUUGAAAUACCACCCUGGUGUGUUUGAGGUUCUAACCUAGGUCCAUUAUCUGGAUCGGGGACAGUGCAUGGUAGGCAGUUUGACUGGGGCGGUCUCCUCCCAAAGCGUAACGGAGGAGUUCGAAGGUACGCUAGUUACGGUCGGACAUCGUGACGAUAGUGCAAUGGCAUAAGCGUGCUUAACUGCGAGACUGACAAGUCGAGCAGAUGCGAAAGCAGGACAUAGUGAUCCGGUGGUUCUGUAUGGAAGGGCCAUCGCUCAACGGAUAAAAGGUACUCUGGGGAUAACAGGCUGAUACCGCCCAAGAGUUCAUAUCGACGGCGGUGUUUGGCACCUCGAUGUCGGCUCAUCUCAUCCUGGGGCUGUAGCCGGUCCCAAGGGUAUGGCUGUUCGCCAUUUAAAGAGGUACGUGAGCUGGGUUUAAAACGUCGUGAGACAGUUUGGUCCCUAUCUUCCGUGGGCGCUGCAGAUUUGAGGAAGCCUGCUCCUAGUACGAGAGGACCGGAGUGGACACACCUCUGGUGUAUCGGUUGUCACGCCAGUGGCAUUGCCGAGUAGCUAAGUGUGGAAGAGAUAACCGCUGAACGCCUCUACGCGAAACUCGUUU
rnacentral:rRNA from 1 species